UACGAAGGGGGCGAGCGUUGUUCGGAAUUACUGAGCGUAAAGGGCGCGCAGGCGGCCUUAGAAGUCAGAUGUGAAAGCCCCGGGCUCAACCUGGGAAUGGCAUUUGAUACUCUGAGGCUGGAGUACGGGAGAGGAGAGUGGAAUUCCCAGUGUAGAGGUGAAAUUCGUAGAUAUUGGGAAGAACACCAGUGGCGAAGGCGGCUCACUGGCCCGGUACUGACGCUGAAAUACGAAAGCGUGGGGAGCAAACAGG
rnacentral:rRNA from 1 species